GCCUGGGUGGCUCAGUCGGUUGAGCGUCAGACUUGGGCUCAGGUCAUGAUCUCACCAUUUGUGAGUUUGAGCCCCACGUCAGGCU
rfam:Felis catus isolate Cinnamon breed Abyssinian chromosome D4, whole genome shotgun sequence.